rnacentral:rRNA from 1 species
GACGAACGCUGGCGGCGUGCUUAACACAUGCAAGUCGAACGCUGAAGCUUGGUGCUUGCACUGGGUGGAUGAGUGGCGAACGGGUGAGUAAUACGUGAGUAACCUGCCCUUGACUCUGGGAUAAGCCUGGGAAACUGGGUCUAAUACUGGAUACGACAUGUCACCGCAUGGUGGUGUGUGGAAAGGGUUUUACUGGUUUUGGAUGGGCUCACGGCCUAUCAGCUUGUUGGUGGGGUGAUGGCUCACCAAGGCGACGACGGGUAGCCGGCCUGAGAGGGUGACCGGCCACACUGGGACUGAGACACGGCCCAGACUCCUACGGGAGGCAGCAGUGGGGAAUAUUGCACAAUGGGCGGAAGCCUGAUGCAGCGACGCCGCGUGAGGGAUGACGGCCUUCGGGUUGCAAACCUCUUUCAGCACGGAAGAAGCGAAAGUGACGGUACGUGCAGAAGAAGCGCCGGCUAACUACGUG